rnacentral:lncRNA from 1 species
UUGUGAUCUUGCUAUGUUUGUGAAAUUGAUGGUUGAUACACGAACUUCUUGUUGUAUUAGAAGUUGUGGUGGAUUGUUAGAGUUAAUAUGAUGAAUGAUGUUAAGAAAUGAAUAAACAUGUUUGUGCAUCAUUGUAUGGUGUUAAUUAUGAUAUACGAUGUUAAGGUAUGUUGGUUCAUAUUUUGGAAUGGAUGGAAGUGGGAAAAUUGUGAUUAGAACCAUGAAGAUUUGAAGAAAUUCAUGUAAAUAUCCAUGAUGAAUAAUUAUGUGAUUUUAC